AUCAGUCACACUGGAACUGGAACGCGGUCCAGNCUCCUACGGGAGGCAGCAGUGAGGAAUUUUGCGCAAUGGGGGCAACCCUGACGCAGCGACGCCGCGUGAGUGAAGAAGGCCNNUGGGUCGUAAAGCUCUGUCACAGGAAGAAAUUAGGAUCUAUUAAUAGUGGGUUCUAUUGACGGUACUUUUGGAGGAAGCGCCGGCU
rnacentral:rRNA from 1 species